rnacentral:rRNA from 1 species
GACGAACGCUGGCGGCGUGCUUAACACAUGCAAGUCGAACGGAAAGGCCCUGCUUGCAGGGUACUCGCGUGGCGAACGGGUGAGUAAAACGUGGGUGAUCUGUCCUGCACUUUGGGAUAAGACUGGGAAACUGGGUCUCAUAUAGGAUAGGAGCCAUUUUUAGUCUGAUGGUUGGAAAGUUUUUUCGGUGUAGGAUGAGCUCGCUGCCUAUCUGUUUGUUGGUGGGGUAAUGGCCUACCAAGGCGGCGACGGGUAGCCGGCCUGAGAGGGGGGACGGCCACAAUUGGGCUGGGAAUCGGGCCAGACUCCCACGGGAGGCAGCAGUGGGGAAUAUUUCCCAAUGGGGGCAAACCUGAUUCAGCGACGCCGGGGUGGGGGUUACGGGCUUCGGGUUUGAAACCCGUUUCGCUAGGGACGAAACUGUGUGUGACGGUACUUAGUUAAGAAGCACCGGCUAACUACGUG